UAGAUUUUGUAGUAUAAGUUAAUUGUGGAAUGGGGGAUUGAAGUUUUGACCAAUCCGACGCAGAACGUUAUUCUAAGCAAAAAAUGGUUCUAGGGUACGCCUCUAAAAUGCACAGAUUUUUUUAUAAAAUUAAUUUUGUUUACAAAGUACGACCCUAAAUCGACCCGAUUUUGUCAGCCGCCUAAAAUGUGCCUUAGGC